rnacentral:lncRNA from 1 species
GAAAGAAGUUUAACCUACAAAGAAUUAUCAAGAUAAAAACCACAAUUUCAACACUAAAAGAAUUGUACUUACCUAUGUGCCUCCUCUUUUGGCUUAAACUUUCAACUAUAGCCUUAAAGAAGCAUUAAGCAAUCUACAACCUUUUAAGGGUUGUCAUUGUUAACAAUUCUAGUUACAUAGACUAGUAUACAAUUAAAGCAAUUGGACCAU